rnacentral:rRNA from 1 species
UACGGGGGGGGCAAGCGUUGUUCGGAAUUACUGGGCGUAAAGGGCGCGUAGGCGGUUUGCUAAGUCGAAUGUGAAAACUCUGGGCUUAACCCAGAGCCUGCAUUCGAUACUGGCAGGCUAGAGUUCUGGAGGGGAUAGCGGAAUUCCUGGUGUAGCGGUGAAAUGCGUAGAUAUCGGGAGGAACACCGGUGGCGAAGGCGGCAUCCUGGACCGAGAUUGACACUGAGGAGCGAAAGCCAGGGGAGCAAACGGG